rnacentral:tRNA from 1 species
CAUUAGGUGACUGAAAGCAAGUAAUGGUCUCUUAAACCACAUAAUAGUAAAUUAGUGAUUACUCUUAAUGA